GACGUAGGGCGCGAGCGUUGUCCGGAUUUAUUGGGCGUAAAGAGCUCGUAGGCGGCUUGUCGCGUCGUCCGUGAAAACCUGCAGCUCAACUGCAGGCUUGCGGUCGAUACGGGCAGGCUAGAGUUCUGGAGGGGGUAGCGGAAUUCCUGGUGUAGCGGUGAAAUGCGUAGAUAUCAGGAGGAACACCGGUGGUGUAGACGGCUCACUGGACCGUAACUGACGCUGAGACACGAAAGCGUGGGUAGCAAACAGG
rnacentral:rRNA from 1 species